AGUCUUUAUAAGCGGGCCGGCGGCGGGGCGGGCCCAACAGACGCACGCGACUCUCGAGGAACAGACGUCUUCCCCGUGUGACACCGCUCCGUUUGAAUGUCCAGAAGGCAAAUCUGGGCUCCGCGGCUCGAUCUCGCGCUCGGAAGCAUCUCCAGCAGCAAGGGCAGCCGACAGGCCAACUGCGGUAACAAGCUCGAGAGGGAGGUGCUUACCCUGGUCCACCGAGUACCGUGAGAUCGAUAGCCCGAGUUAGAUAAAUUUGUGAAUUCUCUCGUCAUUGUACACUUCACAUCGGAGGCUCUCCGCGACCACCGGUCACUCCAGCGAGGCAGCAGCGAGGCAGCAGUGAGGCAGCGGUGAGACAGCAGUGAGACAUCUGUGAGACAGCGAGCCGCCUGAGUCACCCCAGCACCACCAUGGGCCACAGCAACGGACCCAAGUUCGCCGCCCCGGCCGCCGCCAACGGCGGUCUGAUGGCUUCCAUGCCCGUCAAGAAGCCUGCUCCGGCUCCGGCGAUCAAAAGCCAGCAGAAGGAUUCGAAGGGCAAAGACAACGGCUCCUGGGGGCCGGUGUUCAAGAAUAAGGACAACUUCAGGAACAUGCACAUGUACUGAGCGCACAGAGAAGCUUUAGAAAGCCGAUCGGCGACGCUGGGUUCUUGCAAUGCUUACAUCUGAGCGUUCUUAGAGCGCUAAGAUGAGCCGGUGGCCCUCCAUCGCCGCCGUGAACGACUGGCGAAGCUCAUCUGGCAAAGCUCAACUAGACGAGCUUGAAUGGCAAGACUAGUCCGGUGUUAGGGCGACUGCGCGGUCGAGGAGACUCACUGUAACGUCAAGCUAUCACCACGGAAGGCAAAAAAAAUCGCCCACUUCCCAACACCGAGUCACGGAAGCCGUAACGAAAAGUGACGAACCGUGACGGACGGCGACGAUCGGUGACAAACUGUGAUGGACAGCCGUAGUUCGGGAGCGGUCAGCUGUGAACCCACCUCGGCAGAACGCCGCCGCACCUCUCGCAGAUGACUGCAACAAUCACGCAGUGUCGGUCACAUAUGAACCGGGCUCUAGCAUGUCCGCCUUGUAUCAAGGUGAUUCAAAUGUAAUCGAUUAUGCUACGGUUUAUGGUACAAAUAUGAAUAUAUUAUAUAUUAUCGA